rnacentral:rRNA from 1 species
GACAAAGGGUGCAAACGUUGUUCGGAAUUACUGAGCGUAAAGCGCGUGUAGGCGAUCGGGCAAGUCGGAUGUGAAAGCCCCGGGCUCAACCCGGGAAGUGCAUUCGAUACUGCUUGGCUAGAGUACUGGAGAGGAUGGUGGAACUCUCGGUGUAGAGGUGAAAUUCGUAGAUAUCGAGAAGAACACCGGCGGCGAAGGCGGCCAUCUGGACAGAUACUGACGCUAAGACGCGAAAGCGUGGGAAGCAAACAGG